AUUUGUUGAGUAUGAGUAGUACGGUUGCCUUCCAAGCAGAAAGUUUAAGAGUGCCUUAAAACAAAUA
rnacentral:tRNA from 1 species